rnacentral:rRNA from 1 species
GACGAACCGUGCGAACGUUGUUCGGAAUCACUGGGCUUAAAGGGCGCGUAGGCGGGCUGUCGCGUCUGGGGUGAAAUCCUCCGGCUCAACCGGGGAAGGGCCUCGGGUACGGACGGCCUCGAGGGGGUAGGGGCGUGCGGAACUGUGGGUGGAGCGGUGAAAUGCGUUGAUAUCCACAGGAACUCCGGUGGCGAAGGCGGCACGCUGGACCCUCUCUGACGCUGGAGGCGCGAAAGCCAGGG